UCAUUCUACUUAUGUCCUACAAUCUAUUUUUAGCAGGUUCUUAUGACCAAAUCACAAUCAGGGGGGCAGCAUGGCAAGUUUCGUCACAGGGCGCUAACACUGACAAAUGUACGGGCAACCAACUUCAGCUAGCUAAUGUGGCAAAUCAAGGACCUUCAUGCAGCACGUGGCAUCAGGCGGCAACCAUGUACCUGCCAUCAACGUUGUACACAGGUUGUUACGGUGGAACCACAUCGGCAAACGUCUCAUGGCAAGCUUCACAGUUGCAGGAAAGCGCUAUUGCAUAUAGAGCACAUCAAAUUGGAAUGACAGACCACACAAGAUCGGCACAUGCGGCACAACAAGGUAAAAAAAAGUGAAAACAGAAAACAGUACUGCAUUUGCUUUUGUGGGGAAUAGCAUGUGAAGAAAAGUAGAUUUGUAACGGU